rnacentral:rRNA from 1 species
CCUACGGGGUGCAGCAGUGGGGAAUAUUGGACAAUGGGCGAAAGCCUGAUCCAGCCAUGCCGCGUGUGUGAAGAAGGCCUUCGGGUUGUAAAGCACUUUCAGUGGGGAAGAAAGCCUUGGGGCUAAUACCCUCGAGGAAGGACAUCACCCACAGAAGAAGCACCGGCUAACUCCGUGCCAGCAGCCGCGGUAAUACGGAGGGUGCGAGCGUUAAUCGGAAUUACUGGGCGUAAAGCGCGCGUAGGCGGUCUGAUAAGCCGGUUGUGAAAGCCCCGGGCUCAACCUGGGAACGGCAUCCGGAACUGUCAGGCUAGAGUGCAGGAGAGGAAGGUAGAAUUCCCGGUGUAGCGGUGAAAUGCGUAGAGAUCGGGAGGAAUACCAGUGGCGAAGGCGGCCUUCUGGACUGACACUGACGCUGAGGUGCGAAAGCGUAGGUAGCAAACAGGAUUAGAUACCCCAGUAGUC